rnacentral:lncRNA from 1 species
CAGGGAACAAGGGGCAGGUACAAGGGUGGAUUGACAACUGGGUUAAGGGGGUACAACUUGGGCUAAACUAACACCAAAAACAGAGGGGAGAGAGAAACAAACCAUUAACAUAACACCAUGGGGAGCAAAAUUAACAGCACAAUACGACACAAACCUAGAUGCCUCUUGUCUGUGCUCUAGUUUCUUCAGGCUCAUGAAUGAGUCAGCAGGAGUUAGGAGACUCCAGCUAAACAUUUAGGGAGGAGUUGACUAAUUUUUCCAGAAUUCAUAGAACUGAAAUGAUUAGCUUGAAGACAUUUGAUAGAGACAAGAUACCUGAUGGAAGAGUGGCAGGAGUGAAUUACCAUCAGGAAGAAAAAGGUGGUGCAGGGAGAUUCUGCUACCAUUUUUUCCUUUGUCUCACGGAUCAGGUGGCACUGGGUAGGUCUGU